rnacentral:rRNA from 1 species
UACGAAGGGGGCGAGCGUUGUUCGGAAUUACUGGGCGUAAAGCGCACGUAGGCGGAUCGAUCAGUCAGGGGUGAAAUCCUGGAGCUCAACUCCAGAACUGCCUUUGAUACUGGCGAUCUUGAGUCCGGGAGAGGUGAGUGGAACUCCGAGUGUAGAGGUGAAAUUCGUAGAUAUCUGGAGGAACACCGGUGGCGAAGGCGGCAUCCUGGACCGGUAUUGACGCUGAUGCGCGAAAGCCAGGGGAGCAAACGGG